rnacentral:rRNA from 1 species
CUUAAGAGCCGUAUCACCCUGCUGCCCAAGACUGGUUACUCACUGAUGCUACGCAGGGCUGAGCCUGGUCAGUACCUAGAUGGGAGACCACAUGGGAAAAACAAGGUUGCUAUUGGAA